rnacentral:misc_RNA from 1 species
CCAACCAAGUACAUGCGACACACAUCACGGUCGUAGUACUUGCGAUUCACUUCCCUGACGUCACCGUUUCGAUUCGCUCCCAUGAGCACAUCCAGCUGUUUCCUCAUCGCGUCCAUCUCUCCUGCCUCCCGAUUUCUCUAGCUUCCCGAGCUCUAACUCUUCAACAGCACACACACACCCCUACUCUUCACCAAGGGUUUUAUUCCAAGGUUUUUUUUGGGGACAAAAACUAAAAAACCCUUGGUGACUUAGCUAGAUGACACUGUUAGCCCGUGUUUAUAUGCUUUCAUAUUAAACAUAGGCG